AGGGAUCAUUACCGAGUUUACAACUCCCAAACCCCUGUGAACAUACCUAUACGUUGCCUCGGCGGAUCAGCCCGCGCCCCGUAAAACGGGACGGCCCGCCCGAGGACCCUAAACUCUGUUUUUAGUGGAACUUCUGAGUAAAACAAACAAAUAAAUCAAAACUUUCAACAACGGAUCUCUUGGUUCUGGCAUCGAUGAAGAACGCAGCAAAAUGCGAUAAGUAAUGUGAAUUGCAGAAUUCAGUGAAUCAUCGAAUCUUUGAACGCACAUUGCGCCCGCCAGUAUUCUGGCGGGCAUGCCUGUUCGAGCGUCAUUUCAACCCUCAAGCUCAGCUUGGUGUUGGGACUCGCGGUAACCCGCGUUCCCCAAAUCGAUUGGCGGUCACGUCGAGCUUCCAUAGCGUAGUAAUCAUACACCUCGUUACUGGUAAUCGUCGCGGCCACGCCGUAAAACCCCAACUUCUGAAUGUUGACCUCGGAUCAGGUAGGAAUACCCGCUGAACUUAA
rnacentral:rRNA from 1 species